GCCGCCCAAAAAGAUGGUAACAAGCAAACAUCAUUCUGUCAUUUCCUUUUGAUUAUUGGCCACUAAUUUCUCGUGAUUGAAGGUUGCCAUGUUCACAAAUUCAGGAACCUAGACUCCUUUUCAUCAAAAACGCGUACAGCCUUACUGUUUCCUUUUGUUCGACUCACUGAUUUUUCGAGAUUGAUUGACAUCUCAUUUCGCGUUUUCAUUUUGUGAUUGAAAUAUAUUGUUUCCAUACUUGCAUACGAAUCAAUCACAACCUUUUCCUUAUUUACAAGACUCGCGAACACUAUAUAAAUCGAACCAUCAUCACCGUUUUUCACACAACUCGACACCUACAAUCCCUCUCUACUCUCAUUCGAACCCCUUCACAUUCAUCGGAGAGUUACGAGACCUUGCCGGAGACAACCGGAGAGGAAGCUCGCAACAUCGGAGCCGUCGCCAGAACUCGAAUUCUCGCCGAAGUCGUUACGUCGGAACUCACGGCAUCCUUUUGUUUGGUAUACUUUCUUAAUUUUCUUGUUCCCUCGAUUUAGUCCACUGUUAGAAUAUGCUAACUUUGAUUUUAAACACCCGAGGAGUCCGACGCCCUCGGAGAAGACAACCAGAGCCUUUCGCCGGUAAUCGGAGGUUCGCCCGAGUAAAUCGAGACGCUGAAGGGUAACUAAGUUCGCUGGAGUUCACGAUGUUCGUCACUGUGCUCGGAUAAACGCUCUCGUUCGUUCUCUUGGAAUUCUCUAUCUUUACUCGUGCGUUAUUACAAGAAAUCGCAACGCAACCAAUGUUGAUGAUGACGAUGCUAUGAAAAGAAGUAGCGUUGAUGCCUAGAUACACAUAUAGACGUUUAGGUUUAAUAUGUUGUAUCAAUUUUGCUUAUGUUGUUAUGUAUUACUUUUGGAACUUGUUGUCAUUUGAGUUUAUGUAAUGUUGACUAUUUGAAGUUAUGAAAUGAAAUUGGGAUU
rnacentral:lncRNA from 1 species